UGCUAUACAUGCAAGUCGAGCGGAAGAAGGGAGCUUGCUCCCGGAUGUUAGCGGCGGACGGGUGAGUAACACGUGGGUAACCUGCCUGUAAGACUGGGAUAACUCCGGGAAACCGGAGCUAAUACCGGAUAGUUCCUUGAACCGCAUGGUUCAAGGAUGAAAGACGGUUUCGGCUGUCACUUACAGAUGGACCCGCGGCGCAUUAGCUAGUUGGUGAGGUAACGGCUCACCAAGGCGACGAUGCGUAGCCGACCUGAGAGGGUGAUCGGCCACACUGGGACUGAGACACGGCCCAGACUCCUACGGGAGGCAGCAGUAGGGAAUCUUCCGCAAUGGACGAAAGUCUGACGGAGCAACGCCGCGUGAGUGAUGAAGGUUUUCGGAUCGUAAAGCUCUGUUGUUAGGGAAGAACAAGUGCAAGAGUAACUGCUUGCACCUUGACGGUACCUAAUCAGAAAGCCACGGCUAACUACGUGCCAACACCCGCGGUAAUACGUAUGUGGCAAGCCUUGUCCGGAAUUAUUGGGCGUAAAGGGCUCGCAGGCGGUUUCUUANGUCUGAUGUGA
rnacentral:rRNA from 1 species